GCACUGCUGAGGAGUCCCACCUCGCAAGAUUCGAACCCAGAGCCUAUCAGUCUCAUGAUGAUGAUGGUGGUGGUGGUCUGACUUUAAUGGAUUCAUGAUCCCAACUAUUAAAAUGACUAAUAUUUAUUUGUUUACUUUUCUUAACAUUUAAUUAAAACAAACUAUUUCUUAGUUGAAAUCAUGAGUCAAUUGAAGCUAGACCACCAUGGAAAACCUGGAAGCACUGGACGGCCAUUUCGUCAAGGUGUGGGACUCCUCAGCAGUGCGCAUCCACGAUCCCGUCUCACGAGAUUCGAACCCAGGACCUACCAGUCUCGUCCCAUAAUAGGACGAAACGGCCGUCUAGUGC
rnacentral:hammerhead_ribozyme from 1 species